rnacentral:rRNA from 1 species
AUUGAACGCUGGCGACAUGCCUUACACAUGCAAGUCGAACGGCAGCACGGGUGCUUGCACCUGGUGGCGAGUGGCGAACGGGUGAGUAAUACAUCGGAACAUGUCCUGUAGUGGGGGAUAGCCCGGCGAAAGCCGGAUUAAUACCGCAUACGAUCUACGGAUGACAGCGGGGGACCUUCGGGCCUCGCGCUAUAGGGUUGGCCGAUGGCUGAUUAGCUAGUUGGUGGGGUAAAGGCCUACCAAGGCGACGAUCAGUAGCUGGUCUGAGAGGACGACCAGCCACACUGGGACUGAGACACGGCCCAGACUCCUACGGGAGGCAGCAGUGGGGAAUUUUGGACAAUGGGCGAAAGCCUGAUCCAGCAAUGCCGCGUGUGUGAAGAAGGCCUUCGGGUUGUAAAGCACUUUUGUCCGGAAAGAAAUCCUUGGCCCUAAUUCGGUCGGGGGAUGACGGUACCGGAAGAAUAAGCACCGGCUAACUACGUG